rnacentral:rRNA from 1 species
GAGAUUCCCCCAGUAGCGGCGAGCGAACGGGGAGGAGCCCAGAGCCUGAAUCAGUGUGUGUGUUAGUGGAAGCGUCUGGAAAGGCGCGCGAUACAGGGUGACAGCCCCGUACACAAAAAUGCACAUGCUGUGAGCUCGAUGAGUAGGGCGGGACACGUGGUAUCCUGUCUGAAUAUGGGGGGACCAUCCUCCAAGGCUAAAUACUCCUGACUGACCGAUAGUGAACCAGUACCGUGAGGGAAAGGCGAAAAGAACCCCGGCGAGGGGAGUGAAAAAGAACCUGAAACCGUGUACGUACAAGCAGUGGGAGCACAGAGCAAUCUGUGUGACUGCGUACCUUUUGUAUAAUGGGUCAGCGACUUAUAUUCUGUAGCAAGGUUAACCGAAUAGGGGAGCCGAAGGGAAACCGAGUCUUAACUGGGCGUUAAGUUGCAGGGUAUAGACCCGAAACCCGGUGAUCUAGCCAUGGGCAGGUUGAAGGUUGGGUAACACUAACUGGAGGACCGAACCGACUAAUGUUGAAAAAUUAGCGGAUGACUUGUGGCUGGGGGUGAAAGGCCAAUCAAACCGGGAGAUAGCUGGUUCUCCCCGAAAGCUAUUUAGGUAGCGCCUCGUGAAUUCAUCUCCGGGGGUAGAGCACUGUUUCGGCAAGGGGGUCAUCCCGACUUACCAACCCGAUGCAAACUGCGAAUACCGGAGAAUGUUAUCACGGGAGACACACGGCGGGUGCUAACGUCCGUCGUGAAGAGGGAAACAACCCAGACCGCCAGCUAAGGUCCCAAAGUCAUGGUUAAGUGGGAAACGAUGUGGGAAGGCCCAGACAGCCAGGAUGUUGGCUUAGAAGCAGCCAUCAUUUAAAGAAAGCGUAAUAGCUCACUGGUCGAGUCGGCCUGCGCGGAAGAUGUAACGGGGCUAAACCAUG